UCAGGCGAUCCACCCACCUCAGCCUCCCAAAGUGCUGGGAUGACAGGCGUGAGCCACUGUGCCCGGCCUAAAUGCCAGCUAUUAAAUAACUCAGGGACUGAAGGCUUGAGGACGCAUCAGGUUAAAUAGUAGUCAGUGCAGCCCUGGGAGAUGCUAAGCCUGGGGCUGCCACAGAUGGUGUGGUAUCUGGGGUUCCCCCAAGGCCAUCAGGCCACUCACUAGCAGGUUUCUGGGUGCCGAAGUGGAGCUCCAGGUCGAGGUAUUUCACCAUGUCACUCAGCUUAUCGUAGUCAGAGUCUUCCCCGAGCUGCGAGGGAGGAUGGGAGGUUCAGAGUAGGAGGAGCAGCAGCAGCUGGACUGGCCUCCCACUUCCCACCCUCUGAGGGCUGCCAUAGGGGCUUCCCGAGCAAAAGCACCCAUCAGGUGCUGGGAUAAAGCCCGGAGCAGGAGGAGACUGCAGGAGAAGCCAGAUCAUCCGAGUCACCGGGUGCUGAGCCAGCGCCUCCUGGGGUCAAUCGAGACUCAAGACUUGGAACACUACUCGUGCAGAAGCCAGCAAGGUGGGACUGCAGCGGGGGCAUGAAGGAGCUGUGAAGAGGCUAGAGCCAAGUAAGGGGCUACCGGAGGUGGCUCAGGGGUCUGGCUCUGUCAUCAGGUCUCCUUGGAGAGCGGUGAGUUCACCAGGGCUGCCCUGGGCAGAGUGAGCUGGUGCUGAGAGAACUGCAACUGUGACAGCCUAGGGGCCAGACGCUGGACACGUGGCUGUGAUGAAUGGCAUAGAUGAGAGACCGCCACACCUCGCCUCACCCGCCUCCCUCCACACCUGCUUGCGUGCCCACCUCCUCGUAGUCGUUCUCCGGGGUCAGGAAAUCAUCCACGAUGGUGACCCGGGGGCCCAGCUGCUCGCUCAGCACGUCCAGGAAGCGGAGAAACCAGGCCAUACAGAGAUAGGAGCUGAAGGGACACGGUGAGAAGUGACCAAAAGACAAGAGUGUGAGCCCUCCGUUAUGCCUGGACAGGGCCACUAGAGGGCUCCCUGGUCUACUGGUAACGCCAGUGCCUGGGAAGGCACCCGUUGCUUAGCAGACCGGGAAAGGGAGUCUCCCUUUCCUGGUGGAGUUAAAGAAGACUCUGCUCCACCACUGCUUGCCCGCCCGCAGCCACCCAGAGGCCUAACGCUGUCCCUGUGAUGCUGUGCUUCAGUGGUCACGCUCCUGGUCCGCAUUCAUGUUCUGCCCUGUGCACUCGGCUCCACCUUCUAGAUAGCAGCAGCAGAAUUAGUGAAAGUACUAAAGUCUUUAAAAUGCAUAGAAGAAAUAAUUACGUAAGCUGUCCCCUCUUUCUCUCCGCCUCAGCUACCAAAUAGGGAAGGGCCCCCUGUCUGGCGGACACGUGACUCACAUGACCUUACCUAUCAUUGGAGAUGACUCUCACUCCAUACCCUGCCCCUUUGCCUUGUACACAAUAAAUAACAGCACGGCCAGGCAUUCGGGGCCACUACUGGUCUCCGCGUCUUGGUGGUAGUGGUCCCCCGGGCCCAGCUGUCUUUUCUUCUA
rnacentral:lncRNA from 1 species